UACGUAGGUGGCAAGCGUUGUCCGGAUUUAUUGGGUUUAAAGGGUGCGUAGGUGGCCUAUUAAGUCAGUGCUGAAAUAUCCCGGCUUAACCGGGAGGGUGGCAUUGAUACUGAUGGACUUGAGUAAAGUUGAGGUAGGCGGAAUUGACGGUGUAGCGGUGAAAUGCUUAGAUAUCGUCAAGAACACCGAUUGCGAAGGCAGCUUACUAAGCUUUAACUGACACUGAGGCACGAAAGUGUGGGGAUCAAACAGG
rnacentral:rRNA from 1 species